ensembl:lncRNA
AACUAGUCAGCGAUGUUUGUCCUUAACAAGACUUAAGUAGCCUUAUGAUGGAUAUAUCACCGUUCUUCAAAGACCACAUUGAGUCGUUAACCGGGAAACAAACAAACAGCCUUUAUCAAGGCUUCCAGCCUAUUUACAGGCAUCCCACCAGCCUUUUUAAAGAUACCAUCAUUCUUUUUAAAAACUACACAAGUGUUAUUUAAUAUGUACCGUGGAAACAACCAGAGAAUUGGAGCUGGCGCUUCACUUCUCGGGACUCCUCCCACCGGAUACAAGGUGAACAUGGCCCUUUCUCGUGCACAGGAUGAAGUGCACUACCUGAAAAGGAAUGUGAGUGAACUCACUGCUCACACUGAAACUGUGAAAUACAGUUUGACCAACCUGUUAAAAGGCAAAGAUCUUGCCUAUGAGCAGAUGGUUGCCAAGGACAGAAAGAAGUUGUCAGACCUCAUCAGAGAGAACGAGAGUUUGUCUCUGAAGCUCACAGAGACCACCGAACAACUCGUUGUCAAAUAUGCUGAACUCACGGUCCAGCAGCAGGCCAACAACCAACAGUUGAACACAAACUGCUAAAGAGCAAGACAGAGGCUCUGGCUGAGGUUAUCGGGGAAAACAAGAGUUUGUCUCUGAAGCUCUUUAAAUACGCCGAACAACUCUCUGCUGAACUCAAGGUCAACAACGAGACCUGGCAGCAGAAGUAUGACGAUCUGGAGGAAAAGACAUUCAAGGAACUGGAUGACCAACAACAGUCCAUGGAGUCUAAAGUAACAGGGUUACUCUCCACCAACAUUUCUCUUCAAGAGGAGCUGCACAAGCAGCAGUCCAACAACCACCAGUUGGAAGAAGAACACAAACUGCUAAAGAUCAAGACAGAGGCUCUGGAUGAGACUAUCAGGCAGAACGAGGGUUUAUCUCUGAAGCUCACAGAGACAACAAAAAAACUUUCUGUCAAAAGUGCUGAACUCAGGGUCAACAACGAGACCUGGCAGCAGUUGGAAGCAGAACACAAACUGCUGAAGACCCAGAGGGAUUCUCUGGCUGCUUUAAAAAAGAGCCAAGAGGAGACCCACCACGAGACGGUCACGAGCAGUGGUUUCACUGACUUGUGCCUGAUCUCUAAGAUCCAACAAACGGAGAAUACCAUCCCCAAAGAACAUCGGAUCCUUAUCACGAGGAUCCAAGAAUUAGAGGAUGACAAAACAGUCCUUGAAAACAUCUGCCUCGACUUAAAAAAAGAAAUUUUUGGGAGACGGAUGCAAGACCGGCAGACGGAGAUGGACAAAAUGAGGCGCAAGAUGCAGGACAAGGAGACAAAGAAAUAGGAGAGAGAAGAGAGGAAAAAGGAGACCAUCCAGGACGUCAACAUCAACGUGCCUGAGACUGGACACCACCUCCCAUCUCUAUUUUAAUUUGUCAAAGAAAGCAGACCCCUGGAACUCUCUCCAUGUCAUUUCCUUGUCCAUGCCCUGGUCUUUGCAUAGUGAAAAGAUUUUAGUGGGGCAGAAAAUGUACUUCCCUGUAACUCCAGGGAACCCAGUGUGAAUGUGACGACUGUUUGGGCCCUGCUUCAGUUCCGUCUUACAGAACCGACACUUGCGACCAGAGUUUCAGCCUCUCUUGCAGUUUUUCUGGACUGACGUUUAAAGAGGAACUGGUGUUCAACAAUUUGCUGAGGUGCUUUACAUAUUGUACGAUAUGUAGUUUUGCUGUCGGGUGGAGCAUGCUGUUGGGGUUUGUGCAGGAGUUGUGAACUAGAGCAGCGUAGUCCUGGUCCACAAGCUUCAGCAUGUCUUUCUGCUCACGGUGUUUGUUGAGCAGCUGGUCGAUAACUGCCAGCGACGGCGGACGUGAAGUUUCUACAGGAACAAAAGAUGAAGUACACAGAAUCGGCAGGGGGGCAUGGAGAAAACUGGAACAACCUUGAUGGUGCCAGUGAGGAUGACAGAGGAACCUCCGACUGCGUAGCGAGUGGAUCACUCUGAGGAGGUGGAUUCGGGGCCUGGGUGUGAUCUGUCUUGCUGUUGUUCUUGUCCCAGUCCAGAGGAACUGAGCAAAGGAACUGUACAGGACGUGAUGCUCCGACACACACUCACGGAGGAACUGCCUCAUGCGGUGAAACAAGUCUAGCUUGAUAUAAAUGUUUGCAUUUGUGUGAUCUACAUCUAUAUGUGAUCUUGAAGCACAUGUGUUUCGGAGGUUACCAGAAGUGACAUCGGCAAUAAUUGCAUCUGUUGUUCUCCAAGAAUCCCAUUUCAGAUGCUCUCCUGCAAACGACUCUGCCCCCUUGAGUGCAACACAGCAAUCCCUGAAAGAAAAAUAAAAGGAAAGCCAUCAAUGUGACAGCAGUCAUAUAGACCACCAUGUGUGCUCCAGUGUAUAUGGUCAUCAAAAUAAAAUUGAAUGCAAA